GACGAACGCUGGCGGCGUGCCUAAUACAUGCAGUAGAACGCUGAAGGGAGGAGCUUGCUUCUCUGGAUGAGUUGCGAACGGGUGAGUAACGCGUAGGUAACCUGCCUGGUAGCGGGGGAUAACUAUUGGAAACGAUAGCUAAUACCGCAUAAGAGUAGAUGUUGCAUGACAUUUGCUUAAAAGGUGCAAUUGCAUCACUACCAGAUGGACCUGCGUUGUAUUAGCUAGUUGGUGGGGUAACGGCUCACCAAGGCGACGAUACAUAGCCGACCUGAGAGGGUGAUCGGCCACACUGGGACUGAGACACGGCCCAGACUCCUACGGGAGGCAGCAGUAGGGAAUCUUCGGCAAUGGACGGAAGUCUGACCGAGCAACGCCGCGUGAGUGAAGAAGGUUUUCGGAUCGUAAAGCUCUGUUGUAAGAGAAGAACGAGUGUGAGAGUGGAAAGUUCACACUGAUGACGGUAUCUUACCAG
rnacentral:rRNA from 1 species